rnacentral:rRNA from 1 species
UACGUAGGGCGCAAGCGUUAUCCGGAAUUAUUGGGCGUAAAGAGCUCGUAGGCGGUUUGUCGCGUCUGCCGUGAAAGUCCGGGGCUCAACUCCGGAUCUGCGGUGGGUACGGGCAGACUAGAGUGAUGUAGGGGAGACUGGAAUUCCUGGUGUAGCGGUGAAAUGCGCAGAUAUUGGGAGACACCAGCGGCGAAGGCGGCACUCUGGCUGGUACUGACGCUGAGGAGCGAAAGCGUGGGUAGCGAACAGG